GGUAGCCGCCGCCUUCAUCUUCUCUUCAGGCACUGGAAAGUGGAAAAGUGUGGGCGAGUUCACCAUGGUCUCAUUGAUCCAAUAUACAUUUUCCAGGCGCCAUUAUGCUUAUGGAUGCUUCUUUUGGGAGCUCAACAAAAUUAACAAAGAGUUGCUCAUGCUUGACACCCGAAGCAUGGAGUUCUCCACUGUUGAUCUUCCACCUGGAGAAUGGACUAUGAAUAUAGCCAUUGUGGAGGCGGGAGAAGGCAGUCUUGGCAUGUUUGGUAUCCGUGAUGAAACUGGCGGUGAUCUCUGUUUUUACAUUAGGAGGAAUAAAGGUCAUAGUUCUGCCCAAUGGCAUAUGGAGAAGACAAUAUCACUAGCUUCUGGGUACCGUCAUUAUAUCAAAGCUGCCACCGAGAGGUACUUGCUCCUAGCAAAGUGUGGAGACCCUUGGUGCGUGCCAGACGAGGAAUGCAUUUCAAUAGAUGUCAAUACUUUCCAGCUUGAGAGGUUUUGUGUUAAACCUUUCGAGUUUGCCAAGAAUGGAGCGCACAUAUAUACCAACUUCCCACCAUCGUUGUUGUCUGCACCAAAAAUAUGAAGUGAGCCGAUCGAUGGGGUAUUGAGCCAGAUGAGCAUAGUCGUCCUCGGAACUCGUUUGGCGCUGAGAUCUGACAGUUGUAAUAAGCAUUUGCAAGAUCAGGGUGCUUGCAGCAUUGCUAGAGUUCAAGAAGCACGGAACUGAUCAGAUAUGUUUUUGUCUAUCGCAUGUUGAUGUAUGUGGAUUGAUGAAUGCAGUUGUACUCUGUUGUCGCAUGUGACUUUGAUAUGAACCAUUUGUUAUGAAUUCA